AGUGAACGCUGGCGGUAGGCCUAACGCAUGCAAGUCGAACGGCAGCACAGUAAGAGCUUGCUCUUACGGGUGGCGAGUGGCGGACGGGUGAGGAAUACAUCGGAAUCUACUUUUUCGUGGGGGAUAACGUAGGGAAACUUACGCUAAUACCGCAUACGACCUACGGGUGAAAGCAGGGGAUCUUCGGACCUUGCGCGAUUGAAUGAGCCGAUGUCGGAUUAGCUAGUUGGCGGGGUAAAGGCCCACCAAGGCGACGAUCCGUAGCUGGUCUGAGAGGAUGAUCAGCCACACUGGAACUGAGACACGGUCCAGACUCCUACGGGAGGCAGCAGUGGGGAAUAUUGGACAAUGGGCGCAAGCCUGAUCCAGCCAUACCGCGUGGGUGAAGAAGGCCUUCGGGUUGUAAAGCCCUUUUGUUGGGAAAGAAAAGCAGCAGGUUAAUACCCCGCUAUUCUGACGGUACCCAAAGAAUAAGCACCGGCUAACUUCGUG
rnacentral:rRNA from 1 species